rnacentral:lncRNA from 1 species
GUGGUACUUCUAAACUUCGUGGAAGAGCCCUGUUUCAUAAAUCUGAGACAGCCUUGGUCUGAGGGAGCAAAGACAGAGAAUUCACGUGCUGCCCAGGCAUAGCCACAUAGCAGGUGGACAUCCCUGGACACUUUUCUGACAAAGCACGCAAUGUGGGGACAACACAGAAAUCCAAGAAAGGCAAGACCAAUUUCAAGGCACUAAAUAAGUGGACUGAGACAAGAAGUACACAGAUACUUCCCAGAACAAAACCCUCAUUGGAUUUUCCUGGAAGUACGGAGAGUUACAUCCAGAGAACUCUGAACAUUUUGGAAGGACCCCAAUCCUGCAAACAAUGAAUGGCAAUAAAUCCUGGGACUGGAAAGGGGCUUCUCAACCCCAAGGCAACCAUAAAGUCCUAUACAAAGAAAGAUACAGCAGUGUGAAAGAGGCCUGGAUGAAAAAACAAAGACAGAGCCAGUGAGCCAGAGCCAGAGCCAGAGGACAAGAGAGAAAGGCAGAGAAUGGAAAACACAGACAGAGAAGGCAGAUGCGUAGAGAGACAGAGAUUCAAUGAGAAAAUAAGGAAGGAAGAAAGAAAGAAAACAAAAACGUUCUCAGCACUACAACUUCUGCCUUGUUCUGUUCCAGAACAGUAUGAGCUCAGUACUUUUUCAGACUCUCAAUUUUCUACAACUAAUAAUUUGCUCUUUCAGUUAGUGGCAAAGGCUUAACGACAAAGGUUCAUCUUUAAUAUUAGAGAGGCACUUUUAAAAUUUAUGAUGCUAAGCCUUUUGUUCUGGAUAUGGUAUGUUGCACAGGUCUAGGGACUGGGAUUUCAGAUGUCUAUUCCGUACCCUUAUUCUUUUAUUUAUUAAAUCUUUUAGUGUG